rnacentral:rRNA from 1 species
UCAGAGCGAACGUUAGCGGCGGGCUUAACACAUGCAAGUCGAACGCGAAAGGGAUUCGUCCCCGGUAGCGUGGCGUCCGGGUGAGUAACACGUAGGAAACCUUCCCUCGAGCGGGGGAUAACGUCCCGAAAGGGACGCUAAUACCGCAUGAGCUCACGGCGACUCAGGUCGCAGAGAGAAAAGAUGGCCUCUGUAUACAAGCUAUCACUCGAGGAUGGUCCUGCGGCGCAUCAGCUAGUUGGUGAGGUAACGGCUCACCAAGGCGAAGACGCGUAGCUGGUCUGAGAGGAUGAUCAGCCACACUGGCACUGAAACACGGGCCAGACUCCUACGGGAGGCAGCAGUGGGGAAUAUUGGUCAAUGGGCGCAAGCCUGAACCAGCCACGCCGCGUGAGUGAUGAAGGCCUUCGGGUUGUAAAGCUCUGUGGGGAGGGACGAAAACGGUCCGGAAGAAACGACGGAUCCUUGACGGUACCUCCUUAGCAAGCACCGGCUAACUCUGUGCCAGCAGCCGCGGUAA